rnacentral:lncRNA from 1 species
AUGAAGAGAAAGGUGGACGCAAACUCGGUCAUUCAAAGUCUCUCCCACCCCGCCGCCUCCACUACCCAGCAGGGGGAAAAAAAGAGAAGAAGAAAGAAAGAAAGAAACGGGAAGAAAGUAGUUGCGCCGGGCUCUCUCGCGGGGCCGCGCGCGGAGCUGCUCGGUAGGGAGAGGAGCCUUCAACUCUGAGUCCCGUGAACAUAAUCUGCGCGGUUAUAACCAGCCAACCCGGCCAGAUGGCUCCGCGCUCAGCGCCUUAACCCCUUCAGCGCCGCGCCACCCGCCCCCGCGCCCGGCCGUCGCGCGCCUUGCCAGCCCAAGCCCCUGUGCCCCUCCGACUUGGGGCUGGCGUGGGGUGGGCAGUGGGGCGACGAGGUCAUCUUUCCUAGCCUCUCUAAAAGAAAAACACCAAAAACUUCCAAGUUAAUAGUAGGCUUCACUAUCCCCCUUAGAGAUUCAGGAAAAAACGAAAUAUUCAACUUUUCACUGUAUUUUACAUGUUAAUGUCUUCAGCCUGUCUUAUUUGUUUUUUUUUCUUGAGAAACUUCCUUUUGAUCUUUUUUUUUUUUCUUUCUUUUUAUUUAAGAUUUUCCUCUCUAGGCAGAAGGGCCUUUCUUGCCCCUUCCCCCUGGCGGCUUGGGUCUAAUGUGCAAACUCCUCCUCCAAACCUUAGACCCUUCCAGCUCUAGAUCUCUCCCCACCUCCUAUCAAGCCCACCCGUCACUCCUUCCCCCACCCCACAACGCGAACACGCCCAAGGACAAUCACUCCCCAGCGAACUCGCUGCUCUCAGGGACCAGUACCCAGGACGCUGUGCGGGAGGUCAAGGACAGCGGAGUCAAGAGUCUCUGCCACUCUUUGGCCCCAUCUCGUGCCAGGACCUUUGGAUUCACGCGCGAUUGGGGGAGGGGAGCAAUAGCCUCAGAGUGA